rnacentral:antisense_RNA from 12 species
AAUAACCAAAAAUAACGCCCGGGCUAAGGGUCAAGUUGGUAAUUUUUCUUACAUCUCCUCCCCCUGGGGCCCAGGUAUCAUAUACCCCCCCAAAGUAAAGGGCCUUAAAUACUAGAAGAAAAGCACCUAUACCUAACAAAAUUAAGUGAAUACCCAAAAUUGUAGUCAUUUUAUUUCUAUCUUUCCA